GCUGCGCGUAGGCGGUGGCGCGCAGCGCGGCCUCCUGCGCCGCGCGGCCGGCCUCGUCGACGAGGGGCUGCGGGAACGCCACCCGGGACAGCG
rnacentral:tRNA from 1 species